rnacentral:rRNA from 1 species
UCUCAAGCGUUGUUCGGAAUCACGUGGGACGGUAAAGGGUGCGUAGGCUGCACGGUAAGUCAGAUGUGAAAGCCCCGGAGCUCAACUUCGGAAUUGCAUCCGAUACUGCCGUGCUUGAGGACUGGAGAGGAGAUUGGAAUUCACAGUGGAGCAGUGAAAAUGCGUAGAUAUUGUGAGGAACACUAGUGGCGAAGGCGAAUCUCUGGACAGUUCCUGACGCUGAGGCACGAGGCCAGGGGAGCAAACGGGAUUAGAUACCCCGGUAGUCCUGGCAGUAAACGGUGCACGCUUGGUGUGGCAGGAAUCGACCCCUGCCGUGCCGGAGCUAACGCGUUAAGCGUGCCGCCUGGGAAGUACGGUCGCAAGAUUAAAACUCAAAGAAAUUGACGGGGACCCGCACAAGCGGUGGAGUAUGUGGCUUAAUUCGAU